rnacentral:Y_RNA from 1 species
GGCUGAUCUGAAGAUGAUGAGUUAUCUCAAUUGAUUGUUCAGUUACAGAUCCAACUCCUUGUUCUAUUCUUUCCUCUCUUCUCACUACUGUACUUGGCUAGGAAAA